AACUGGCGCUGUGGGAUGAACCAAACGUCGAGUUAAGGGGCCUAAAUGAAUGCUCAUUCAGAUCCCAUCGAAAGGCGUUGGUUGCUAUAGACAGCAGGACGGUGGCCAUGGAAGUUGGAAUCCGCUAAGGAGUGUGUAACAACUCACCUGCCGAAGCAACUAGCCCUUAAAAUGGUAUGGCGCUAAAGCAUUCUCCCGAUACUCGACCGCCGGGGCACUAGCGGCCACGUCCCAGAGGCGAGGUCUCGAAGCCCCGGUGAGUAAGAGGGUCGCAGUGGUGAGCGCUGAAGGGAUCCGGCGUGAGCCGGCCUGGAGCCUCCACUGGUGCAGAUCUUGGUGGUAGUAGCAAAUACUCGAGAGAGACUCCCUUGAAGACCGAAGUGGAGAAGGGUUCCAUGUGAACAUCAGUUGGACAUGGGUUAGUCGCUCCUAAGUCCAAGGCUAAGGCCUGAUCCCAUGGCAUUGGC
rnacentral:rRNA from 1 species